GAUGAACGCUGGCGGCGUGCCUAAUACAUGCAAGUCGAGCGAACGGACGAGAAGCUUGCUUCUCUGAUGUUAGCGGCGGACGGGUGAGUAACACGUGGAUAACCUACCUAUAAGACUGGGAUAACUUCGGGAAACCGGAGCUAAUACCGGAUAAUAUUUUGAACCGCAUGGUUCAAAAGUGAAAGACGGUCUUGCUGUCACUUAUAGAUGGAUCCGCGCUGCAUUAGCUAGUUGGUAAGGUAACGGCUUACCAAGGCAACGAUGCGUAGCCGACCUGAGAGGGUGAUCGGCCACACUGGAACUGAGACACGGUCCAGACUCCUACGGGAGGCAGCAGUAGGGAAUCUUCCGCAAUGGGCGAAAGCCUGACGGAGCAACGCCGCGUGAGUGAUGAAGGUCUUCGGAUCGUAAAACUCUGUUAUUAGGGAAGAACAUAUGUGUAAGUAACUGUGCACAUCUUGACGGUACCUAAUCAGAAAGCCACGGCUAACUACGUGCCAGCAGCCGCGGUAAUACGUAGGUGGCAAGCGUUAUCCGGAAUUAUUGGGCGUAAAGCGCGCGUAGGCGGUUUUUUAGUCUGAUGUGAAAGCCCACGGCUCAACCGUGGAGGGUCAUUGGAAACUGGAAAACUUGAGUGCAGAAGAGGAAAGUGGAAUUCCAUGUGUAGCGGUGAAAUGCGCAGAGAUAUGGAGGAACACCAGUGGCGAAGGCGACUUUCUGGUCUGUAACUGACGCUGAUGUGCGAAAGCGUGGGGAUCAAACAGGAUUAGGUACCCUGGUAGUCCACGCCGUAAACGAUGAGUGCUAAGUGUUAGGGGGUUUCCGCCCCUUAGUGCUGCAGCUAACGCAUUAAGCACUCCGCCUGGGGAGUACGACCGCAAGGUUGAAACUCAAAGGAAUUGACGGGGACCCGCACAAGCGGUGGAGCAUGUGGUUUAAUUCGAAGCAACGCGAAGAACCUUACCAAAUCUUGACAUCCUUUGACAACUCUAGAGAUAGAGCCUUCCCCUUCGGGGGACAAAGUGACAGGUGGUGCAUGGUUGUCGUCAGCUCGUGUCGUGAGAUGUUGGGUUAAGUCCCGCAACGAGCGCAACCCUUAAGCUUAGUUGCCAUCAUUAAGUUGGGCACUCUAAGUUGACUGCCGGUGACAAACCGGAGGAAGGUGGGGAUGACGUCAAAUCAUCAUGCCCCUUAUGAUUUGGGCUACACACGUGCUACAAUGGACAAUACAAAGGGCAGCGAAACCGCGAGGUCAAGCAAAUCCCAUAAAGUUGUUCUCAGUUCGGAUUGUAGUCUGCAACUCGACUACAUGAAGCUGGAAUCGCUAGUAAUCGUAGAUCAGCAUGCUACGGUGAAUACGUUCCCGGGUCU
rnacentral:rRNA from 1 species